UACGUUGGGGGCUAGCGUUGUCCGGAAUCAUUGGGCGUAAAGAGCGUGUAGGCGGCCCGGUAAGUCCGCUGUGAAAGUCGGGGGCUCAACCCUCGAAUGCCGGUGGAUACUGUCGGGCUAGAGUGCGGAAGAGGCGAGUGGAAUUCCUGGUGUAGCGGUGAAAUGCGCAGAUAUCAGGAGGAACACCGAUUGCGAAGGCAGCACUCUGGGACGUGACUGACGCUGAGACGCGAAAGCGUGGGGAGCAAACAGG
rnacentral:rRNA from 1 species